rnacentral:rRNA from 1 species
CCUACGGGAGGCUGCAGUCGGGAAUAUUGCGCAAUGGAGGAAACUCUGACGCAGUGACGCCGCGUGCAGGAAGAAGGUUUUCGGAUUGUAAACUGCUUUAGACAGGGAAGAUAAUGACAGUACCUGUAGAAUAAGCUCCGGCUAACUACGUGCCAGCAGCCGCGGUAAUACGUAGGGAGCAAGCGUUAUCCGGAUUUAUUGGGUGUAAAGGGUGCGUAGACGGGAAGACAAGUUGGUUGUGAAAUCCCUCGGCUUAACUGAGGAACUGCAACCAAAACUAUCUUUCUUGAGUGCUGGAGAGGAAAGUGGAAUUCCUAGUGUAGCGGUGAAAUGCGUAGAUAUUAGGAGGAACACCAGUGGCGAAGGCGACUUUCUGGACAGUAACUGACGUUGAGGCACGAAAGUGUGGGGAGCAAACAGGAUUAGAUACC